rnacentral:lncRNA from 1 species
ACACACACACAUACACACACACAGACACACACCAAGAGAGAGAGGCAGAGACACAGGCAGAGGGAGAAGCAAGCUCCAUGCAGGGAGGCCAACCUGGGACUGCAUCCCGGGUCUCCAGGAUCAGGCCCUGGGCUGAAGGCGGUGCUAAACCGCUGAGCCACCUGGGCUGCCCCACACCCACACUUACACACCUAGACAGGUGUAUAUAAUUUUAUCAUGUAGUUGCAUACAAGAUGGAUAAAAUAUGCUAGAGAAAUGUUUCUUGGACAUCCCUGCCCAAGUAUCCUGUGCUUUUGUGUCACUAUUUCUGGAGACUGGGUAUCCAGAAGUGGGAGGCUAAUUGAUAAACUUUUCCUUUACAAGUGCAGUCUUCUGUUCUCCUUGAGCCCAUUCAUUCCAGUUUCCAGGUGCUAGGCUCAUAGCAUGAGUGCCAAGUGACUUGAGCCAAUGAAGCACAGAUGCCGGAUGCCACGUUGUAAACAGCAUGGGGUUGACCCAGUAAGACUUUUGAAGAUGUAACCCCAGCACUGACCUUCGGUCUGACCUGAAGGCAUAGAUAUCUCAGAUUUAUGAAUAUUAUUUCCUGCCUCAAAGAGGCCAGAGAUCACUGGGAAGCCCUGGUUUGUUUCUUUAAGCCCAGAGAGAUAUGUUAAAGGGGUGGGGCCGACCUCAAGGGUCUCUGCUGCCUGGAGAUGAAAGACCUGUGAAGGUCAGAGACCACUGUUAAGUCAACAUCCUACUCGGUGCUCUUUUUGGUACUUUGACCCUAAUGACUCAGCCUCCUGGAGGGUCCCAUCCUCUGUGAUGUUGGCUCUUGGCUCUUUGAUGUUACUUUUGUCUUCAUCUUCUGGUUCUUUUACCUGGCUGAUUUCAACCUGUCAGGGAUUGUGACGACUACCCUUUUGAGUCCAUUGGGCAUUUAUUUCUGAUACUCAGAGCUGGACUGCCUGUGCUUGUGGGCCUGUGGGGCUGACUUACCUACACACCAGCAAAACCUGCUCCCUGACCUCCCAUCCCACCCCAGGUAACUCCAACUCAGCAACAGAGAGAUUGUUUCUAAAACCUACAUUAAAUAUUGUCGCUCCUCUGUGUAAACCCUUUCAAUGGCUUCCCAUGACAUGGGAAUAAAAUACCAACUCCUUUCCAUAACUUGUAAGACCUUAUAUGACAUAACCAUUGCUCCUUCCCAGAUCCUACCUCAUACCACUUCCCCAGGGCCCAUGAUGUGCUAGCCCUAUUCCUUCAGUGCAUCAUGUUUGUUUUACCUCAAAGACUUUACCCUGCUGUUCCUGUCUUUUAGAAAACCCUUCCCCAUAAUUUCCCAUGGAUGGUUUCAUCCUACCAUCAUAAAAAUUCUCUCUCUCUCUCUCUCUCUCUCUCUCUCUUUUUGGUUAUGUUCUGUUUCUCACAUUCACCCAUAGGAGCAAAGACCUCUUUUGUACAUUUCCCUACAGUGUUUGGAGUGACACAUGACACUUCUUAGAAGCAAGCUAAAUGUCUGACGGAAAGGCAAAUGAACAAAUAAAUGAUUUGUGGGUUUCCAUAUGUAAAGAGCCAGUGGUGUCUAUUAAGUAAAAGAAUUCCCUUGGCUGUGACUUCAGCUAGUGUUCAACACGCAUAUUUCUUACAGAGGGAUGAAGAGGAAGUGGACAGGCUUGGUCGGUGAACAAUGUUACAAACUCAAAAAUAUUUACCAUCACUUCAUAUUAAAGAGAAAUAUUUUAAAACAACAACACUACUAUUUCUAGGAAAAGCAUCUAAUACUGUCUAGAGCAGAAUACCUAGCUUGUGCUAACCGGAAUAAAUAAGUUUACCUAUAAGAACAGACUAAAAAUGGGGGCACCUGGGUGGCUCAGUGGUUGAGCAUCUGCCUUUGGCUCAGGUCGUGAUCCUGGGGUCCUGGGAUGAAGUCACAUCAGGCUCCCUGCAUGGAACCUGCUUCUCUCUUUGCCUGUGUCUCUGUCUCUCUCUCUGUGUGUCUCUCAUGAAUAACUAAAAUAUUUAAAAAAAAAAUAACAGACAAGAAAUGGUGAAUAAUCAUGUAAAAGAUUAAAGAGUUAAUUUCAGAACAAUGUGUUUGGCAUAACAGUGUUUGUAAUAAUAAUAAUAAUAAUAAUAAUAGAUUUGUAUCUACAUUAACAUUAUAAAAGAAUAUAGGAGAAACACUAUCCCUGAAAGGUGAGUAACAGAAAUACUUUUGUUUUCUACUUCAUAUGUUUAUAGUUGUUUGAGAUGAAUGUGUAUUAUUUUCACUAAGUAGAUAAAACACUGGAAGGAUAUAUAAAAAGCCAGCGCAAGUUCAGUCUGGAAAAGGAAAUGUAGAGAAUGACUAUUUCUAAAGCAAGUAGAAACAAUGAUUCAUAAACUGGGCAGCGAUUAAAAAAAAGAAAAACCCAACCAACUGGGCUUAAAAAUGACAGGCUGAUCAGACAAUCCAAAUCCCUCACCCCCUGGCUCCACACAAUAGCCUUAGUGGCUUAGGUGGGGCUAAGGAAGUACUUCCUCAAGCUGGUGUUAAGGUUUCCCUUCAAAAAGAAAACUGAGCAAACCAAUAUUUUAAUAGGAAAAAAAAAAGCCUCCCUCACUCUGAGAUCUUCCCUGUGGGUCUCACUAAUACUCUGGGGUGCGCUCCCUCCCUUUGUCUUGGAGAUUUACACUAGGAUCUUACCCAGCUGCCUCUUUCAGAAUUCCUCAUAUUCUUAGUAAUGCUUGUUUCUCCUUCUCCCCAUGGGAGAUGGACUCUUGUCCAGUUUCUCUCUGUCAGCCUCUGAAGUUGGGGAGGAAGAGGCAAAAGCAUUAGAGAAACCUAACCAUGGAAAGGCACUUCCAAUGACAAAAGCACACUUUGGAGUGGAAACUGGACUGGGGGGCUUGGAAGAGGUGGAAAUAAAGGCACUGCCUGGACGUGGUUACUUCACUCGGGUCAUCAUAAUGCCAGUGAGCUGGGGAAAGAUGCCCGUACUCACUCCUCACUUAGUCAUUCAACAAGUAUUCAUUGAGCACAGGAUAUGGGCCAGAUACUGAGCUAUGAGCUGGAGGGAGACGACAAUGAGCAGAAUCAAUCAAUGUGGUCCUAGCUCCCAUUAAGCUUAGAGUCAAAGUGGGGAGGUGAACAGAAAUCACAAAAAAAAUGAAAGCAGAAUUGCCAACUGUGGAGUAUGUGCCACGUGAAUGGGUGGCUAGUGUCUCUUAGCUCAAGGGGCAAAGGAAGGCACUCCAAGGGAACUGCCACUGGAGUGGAGGUGUGAAGGGGAAAUGAGGGUCAACAGGGCAGGAACCAAGAAAACAAGGCAUGGCGAUCUUUUGGGAGUCGGGCCUGGGGACUGGCCAUGGCAGCUGUAGAGGGGAAGUGGAGCAGGUGCCCGGGACGGGAGCAAGGCUUCCCAAAGGGGCCGCCAUAGGAGCUCAGCUGAGGUCCCAUGGGUGCUCUCUGAAUGGCAAGAGAAAGUCCGAGUAGAUCCCCUAGCA